rnacentral:rRNA from 1 species
CCUACGGGAGGCAGCAGUAGGGAAUCUUUCACAAUGGGCGAAAGCCUGAUGGAGCAACGCCGCGUGCAGGAUGAAGGCCUUCGGGUUGUAAACUGCUUUUAUAAGCGAGAAAUAUGAUGGUAACUUAUGAAUAAGGAUCGGCUAACUACGUGCCAGCAGCCGCGGUCAUACGUAGGAUUCGAGCAUUAUCCGGAGUGACUGGGUGUAAAGAGUUGCGUAGGUGGCAUAAUAAGUAGCUAGUGAAAUCUGGUGGCUCAACCAUUCAGACUAUUAGCUAAACUGUUAAGCUCGAGACCGUUAGUGUUAACUGGAUGUUCUAGUGUAGGAGUGUAAUCCGUAGAUAUUAGAAGGCACACCAAUAGCGUAGGCAGGUUGCUGGGACGGUUCUGACACUAAGGCACGAAAGCGUAGGGAGCAAACGGGAUUAGAUACCCGAGUAGUC